rnacentral:miRNA from 1 species
AGGAACUGGGCCAGAAGCUG